rnacentral:lncRNA from 1 species
GGACACAAGGCACUUAUAGGGCUGGGAAUGGGGGUGUCGCCGCCGCCCAGUCAGCUCCGUGUCCACCGAUCCUCCGCCGGUGCCGCGCUGUCGUUGCGGCGCCCCCGUCCAGCCCUCUGUUCGCGCGGGCUCCAGAACCGGCCGGCGGGGCCCGGAGUCAGGGCCACGUCCUGCCAUGCCGGCCCGGUGGCUGUUGCUCCUGCUGGCGCUGCUGCUACCGCCGCCCGGCCCCGGGGUGAGUAACCAGGGGAGUGCGGUGCGGGGACGGGCCGGCUCGCGGCCAGAGGAGAGUCGCGCGGUGGCGGGGGCUGGCGUCCGAGCCGGGCCGCAGCGGCGGGAGGCCCGGCGCCUGGGCUGAGGCAGCUGCGGGAGGCUUGGCGGUGGGAGCUGCGUCGGCCGGCCACACACUGGCGUCCGCCUCCGGAGGCGCCUCCGGGGCCAGCGCGGCCGAGGCAGACCGCGAGCGGCUCCACGGCCCGGGACGCGCGCGACUCGGAGCUGUCUCCCAAAGGCCGGGCCCUGGGCGCGCUGCCCACCUGCCCCGCGGUCUCCACAGGUGGGCGCCCGCACUGCCGCCGUGGCCGCGGAUGGACACCCGAAGCCGGGGGAAGCGGGUGGUGGACUGGAGUUUUGAGUCUUUACUCGAAAGUUUUUUGUUUUGUUUUGUUUUUAAAUGAGACUUUGGAAAGCGUUUGAAGCCGGGAAUGGGCACGGCGUUUUUAGCCAGCCGCCGCUGGUUUCUGCCUACCUGACCCGAAGGUUUCUUUGUAUUCGGAGGCAGGGGGCUUCCUACUAGUAAUUUUGCUAGACAGUGAAGGUGUCAUUAAACAAGUUAAGCUGUGGGCAUUGGAUCCUUUUAAAGACCCGGUGUGUGGGCCAGAGUUGUACUGCAAAACUUAAAGCUGUCUCACGUGCGGGGCCGUCAGAAACGUCUUCGCUUUUUUUUUUUUUUUUUUUGAGAAGAAUAUCGGUUUAUAUUUAUUUAACUCUUUAUCCACUCAGGAUUUGAACACUUUGGCUAAAGAGGACAUUUUGUAGGCGGACAUGGCUAUUUUCAUCUUCUGGUUGGAAGAACUGGGGGCUUUAAAAUUUUUUUAAAAUGCACUUUUCAGGAUGUGGGCAUGGUACACUUGUGCUGGUUCUAUUUAAUGACCUCUUUGAAGGUACCGUGUUCCCUUUAAUAUGGCAUAUCAUGUACCAGGUGUCCUGGUGGAAGACUGACAUGUGUGGAGACCCGCGGGCCAGCCGCGGCCAACUCUUUGAACUCUUAUGCCUUGUAGGUAAAUAAUUGUCUGUGCUCUCAGAAUAACAAAUUAGAAUUUAGAGACUACUGAAGUAUUAAAGAAGGUCUACUUUUUCAAAUUCAAGUUGGUUUGUUUUUUUCCAAACGGAAAUUUAUAUGCGUUUUCUUCAUGGUAGACCCUAGGUGUUUUUUGUUUUUUUGUUUUUGUUUUGUUUUCUUCUUCUUCUCCUAAUUAAAAAGAAAAGAUGUACUUUUCACAACUAGGACCAGGUUUUGAACUUGGGCGCUUCACCUUGGGUUGAUUGAUUGCUGCCUGGUAUCUGCUCACAGAUAACGAGUAUAAACAGAAUGACUGGAUGUUUCCCAUGGAGCUCGAACGUUUCAUAGUUUCCCAGCCGAGGUGGACCCGGUUUCCUUCUGAACAGCUUUGCAUUUCUUCUGCUUUUGCUGGAUUCUAGUGUUUUUGUCACUCAGCAGCAUAGGAGAAGGAGCCAGCAACGAUUUAGCUUUAGUUUUAGUUCAUGUAUUUUCAAGUCCUGCUUAGAAACGCAGACUUGUCAGAGUUCACAUAAAAGAUUCCAGGCCCUUAGCAAAGGUUGUUUUACUGUAACUUUUUUAGUCGAAAGGUUGGCUUUUACUUUUCAGAAUUUUCUUCUAAUAAAAGAUUUCUUUAACUCCAAACAUAGUAAGAUAGGAUUUUUAAGACCUGAAGUGGAAGUCAGAGCAGAAUUCAUACUUAGAGUAGACAGCAAUGACGCUGGGCAAAGCACAGCAGCUGUUACAUCAGAUAGCCCAGUCUAACUGAGAACUUGCUAGCUGUAUCCUCAGGCAAGUUAUUUUUUUUUUUUAGGGACUCAGUUUCCUGAUCUGUGAAAUGGGGGCAGCUAGUGCGUGGGAGGGAAGGUACUUGCACAUACGAGCUGGUGUGUGUGUAUUCUCUUCCUCUCCCUGCCAAAGUGCCUUUUACUCCUUCAUUGUAAGUGUUGUGCUUUUAUGGUUAUUUUGUUUUGACCGAUGGAGUAGCUUGUGCACUGGAGGCAAUGCUCUGAUUUUCAGGGAGUGUGUUUUUUAAUUGAGCCUGACACUGACUCAGUAUUAGUUGACAUUCGAGGCUACAAGACCCAAAAUGCAGUAACAUCCUUAUUAGUAAGCACUGGAGGCUGCUUUUGUCAAUCCAGAAUGUGCUUAAUAAGUUAGUUACAUUCUAGAGUUUUCCCUUUCUUCCCAGACCCUUAUCUUAUACCUAAUGUGGGUUAAUUUUACAUGGGCACCACUUCAAGAUUGGCAGCAUGUGAGACCAAAUGCGUUUGU